GACGAACGCUGGCGGCGUGCUUAACACAUGCAAGUCGAACGGAAAGGCCCUGCUUUUGUGGGUGCUCGAGUGGCGAACGGGUGAGUAACACGUGAGUAACCUGCCCUUGACUUUGGGAUAACUUCAGGAAACUGGGGCUAAUACCGGAUAGGAGCUCCUGCUGCAUGGUGGGGGUUGGAAAGUUUCGGCGGUUGGGGAUGGACUCGCGGCUUAUCAGCUUGUUGGUGGGGUAGUGGCUUACCAAGGCUUUGACGGGUAGCCGGCCUGAGAGGGUGACCGGUCACAUUGGGACUGAGAUACGGCCCAGACUCCUACGGGAGGCAGCAGUGGGGAAUAUUGCACAAUGGGCGGAAGCCUGAUGCAGCAACGCCGCGUGCGGGAUGACGGCCUUCGGGUUGUAAACCGCUUUCGCCUGUGACGAAGCGUGAGUGACGGUAAUGGGUAAAGAAGCACCGGCUAACUACGUG
rnacentral:rRNA from 1 species